UAUCGCAAUGAAAGUGCCAGUACUGAUAGUACUAGCCCUUGUGUGCUUGUCUAGUGCCAAAUACGAGGGCUCAACAAUCUUGAGUUUAGCAUUGAAAUCGAAAAUGUUGGAACCGCCAUUCAGGCUGAAAAACACUACCACAAAUCGAGACAAGCUUUAGGUUUGGGAAAAAUUACUUUUGACCAAUAUUUACGCCACGCUGAGAUUAAUGCUUAUUUGGCCCAACUGGCUAAAGACUACCCCGACACUGUCACUCUAGAAACAAUCGGACAGUCGUACGAAAAACAUUCCCCGACUACAAUCCGAUCUAUUCUUACAGCAUCUCCUCUUUCACGACAGCUUAUACCGUUUAUAGGUAUGUGUCUAUCGAGGAGAAUCAUCGGCACGACCAUCAAUCCUGAAUACCCCGAAAUAUUGUGGAUUUCAUUUCCUGAUCAAGCUGGUUUGGGUAACUGAACCGUUAAAACCCAUCAGACCGGCUUCCAAUUAUUAAAGUCCAAUAUCAAAAAGGAGUCUUUGCAUUUCUACUAAAACAAUAUAAACUCUGUAAUUCAUGUUUUAUUAUAACUAUAUAUAAAUAUGAAAUGGAA